rnacentral:rRNA from 1 species
CUGACAAAUGUAUAAGAGGGUCCCGCCUGCCCUGUGACUUAUUUUUAAGUUUAACGGCCGCGGUAUUUUGACCGUGCGAAGGUAGCGCAAUCACUUGUCUUUUAAAUGGAGACCUGUAUGAAUGGCACAACGAGGGCUAAGCUGUCUCCUUUUUUCAGUCAAUGAAAUUGAUCCCCCCGUGCAGAAGCGGGGAUAAAACCAUAAGACGAGAAGACCCUAUGGAGCUUUAGACAAAAGACAGCCCACGUAAAAACACCUAGCUUAAUAGGACUAACAAAAUGGCACCUGUCCCAUGUCUUUGGUUGGGGCGACCGCGGGGAAACAAAAAACCCCCACGUGGACACAGGAGAUGCUCCUUAAAGUAAGAGCAGCCGCUCUAACUAACAGAACAUCUGACCAACAAGAUCCGGCAUGGCCGAUCAACGGAACGAGUUACCCUAGGGAUAACAGCGCAAUCCCCUUUUAGAGCCCAUAUCGACAAGGGGGUUUACGACCUCGAUGUUGGAUCAGGACAUCCUAAUGGUGCAGCCGCUAUUAAGGGUUCGUUUGUUCAACGAUUAAAGUCCUACGUGAUCUGAGUUCAGACCGAACGGAGGG